rnacentral:rRNA from 1 species
GAUGAACGCUAGCGGCAGGCUUAAUACAUGCAAGUCGAGGGGCAGCAGUUUUGUAGCAAUACAGAAGCUGGCGACCGGCAAACGGGUGCGGAACACGUACGCAACCUUCCUUUAACUGGGAGAUAGCCCACCGAAAGGUGGAUUAAUAUCCCAUAAUAUAACUGAAUGGCAUCAUUUAGCUAUUAAAGCUCCGGCGGUUAAAGAUGGGCGUGCGUCUGUUUAGGUAGUUGGCGGGGUAACGGCCCACCAAGCCUUCGAUCAGUAGUUGAUGUGAGAGCAUGAUCAGCCACACGGGAACUGAGGCACGGGCCCGACUCCUACGGGAGGCAGCAGUAAGGAAUAUUGGUCAAUGGACGCAAGUCUGAACCAGCCAUGCCGCGUGGAGGAUGAAGGCCCUCUGGGUUGUAAACUUCUUUUCUUUGGGACAAAACCCCUGUUUCUACGGGGACUGACGGUACCAGAGGAAUAAGCACCGGCUAACUCCGUGCCAGCCGCCGCCGUAACAC